CCAGGAAAACCAAAGCCAGCUCUGCACAGACCUGCGUUUUUAUAGCUGCUAUAGUAUUCUGCAGUGCUUUUUUUUUCUCCCCGGCCAGACAGACACCACAAAACUG
ensembl:misc_RNA